AGAGAAUAAGAUAUUUUGAAAUUAUACAAUGAUCUCUAUUAAAGUGAUAACAGCUGGUACCAACUUGACAAAUCAAAGAAUUUUAUGAGAAAGAUAAACUGUACACUUCCUGUAAAACCCAGCCAAACUAAUAACAUUGGGGAUUACAGUAAAGGCACUUACUACUGUCAAGUCGACACACAGCCUCGUUGACCUUUUAUAAAUGGAUGAAAAUAAGUUUAGCAAAACCCAGCAAGAUAUAUGGAAAGUUGGACUGCAGGUGAAUGGUAGGAGGUCUGAGCAAUUUUACUAACCCAACCAGUCGGCAAUAAUUGGUGAACUGCCUUCUCCCUUGAGAGCCUGGGGACACAUAUGGCUGCCCAUUGGUGAGCCUGCUCAUUGCUUGGAGGGCACUUUAUUGACUGUAUUUGCUGUUUGUUGAGUGUAUUUCUCCCAGGAGCUUUAACAAUAUUGCCCAUGAAUCUGAACCUUGUGACUGGUAAACAUUCUCCGGCCUUGACAAUCAGUGUUUCAGCUUUGCUUCAGUAUUUUGCUUUCUGCCAAAGCCAUGGCCUUGAUGCCCUGCAAUAUCUGUCUUGCACCCCAAGGCCAUUAUCUGGGCUGCACAUUUCCAUUUCCUUGAACAUUAUCUCUUUUAAAUACUUCUCACUGAAAUCAACAACUUUCUGUGGGAGUCAUAAUCGAUUUUGUCAGUAUAUGUCUAGUUCCAGUCCCUUGUUGCUUUUCUUUUCCUGUGUCAGGAACAUACACCAGGCUGGCCUUUCACUGGUACUUGAAUAUAAUUCUUUAAUCAGAGAUCACUUUACUUUUCCUUUCCCCACUCCCAGCCAAAAAUAAUCAUUUAAUUAGAUCCAAUGGUAUGAAAUCCAUUUCUCAAACACGAGCCAAAGCCCAUAACUUCAACUGGGCACAGAGUUCAUAGAAUUCCCUGUAUGAUUCCCCCAGGAGAUUCAACUCCAAGGGCAAUGGGCUGAGCUCUUCAGAUGAAAUGGGAUGCAGACGGCCCCAUCUUUUCAUGGCUCGGUAACAAGGCCCAUUAUUUACAGUGCCCUCUCUGCUCUCUGACUCUGUUAGCAUUUUUCUUUUCAAUUUGGAUCUUGGCCUGCAUUGUGCCCCUUUCAUGAAGCACGUGCCAUAAUGAUUUUAAAAUAAUGGGAACAAUGCUAUGGCACUGUUCCUUGGCGAUACGAUUCUCAAACUGUCUGCAGAUUGCUGAGUAAGUGAAAUGUUUUGACAGAGAGAAAUAUGUGUUGUCAAUGUUGCUUUACCCAUGGUUGGGAAGGGAAAUUGGAACUGUACUUCAGCAGGGUUCAGAGGUUGAUGACUGGAAUGAUCUCCUCAGAACAAAUGACUACAGACCAUUUUGCUUUCCUUUAUGCCUCAUUCUUCUCUAAUGAAAUGCCC
rnacentral:lncRNA from 1 species